UUUUUCCAACUGUAGAUACCGUUGCUCUUCAUUAUCUACAUCAGAGAUCUAAGUUGACAUUGUUGCCCAAUUACAAAAAAUUUUUGAAUUCAUUUUAAGUCCAAUAUAUCACAUAAUUAUUGCGAAGUAGAUUAUACAAGAAAACAGAUUAAGGCCCGGUCUUUUCACCUCCGAAUAAAUAUGCUCUUAUCUGGCAGUUAGCUAUCUGGAGGAUAAAUAUUUAUUCGCCAGAUAAAAAGUACCCGUCUUUUCACGUCAAUUUAUGUUCCAGUUAGUUAUCCGGUAGAUAAGCUUAAAACUUUAACUUAACCUAACAUAAUUAGAUUCAAAGUAUUUCAAAGAUGAUUUUAUCGAUUUUAUUUCCAUUUUGGAAGAAGGAAUGAAGGAAAUAAGGAAAACAUUGAUUAUGCUGAAAUAGUUUACUGGAGAGCUUGAACAAGAGGUAAAUCCAUUUUAAAUUAGAGGAAAACUGUUGAUUUGUAUGUAAAAUAGAAGACAAAGACAAGUUUAAAUAAAGACAAGCUAGCUAAUGAAACAGAUGCAGUGAUAUGACAAACACCUAGAAGAUGGAAUCCUGUGUUCUCAAAGAAAAAGCUAGUUCCAGAAAUAAGCUACCAAUAAUAAACUAGAGAAUGUAUUACAAGAAAGAACAACGCUAAUACCCAACAUAGCUCAAUUGCUUCAGAUAGAAAAAGAGGAGGAAAGGGUAGAACACAAGCGUGCCAGAGAAAAUUAAAGGGCAGAAGAGACACAAAAAUUCAUUGAUUUAUUAAAUUUAAUAAUUAAAUUAUACAAAGGACAAUUAAAUAAAGAAUAAAAAAUUA